AGCCUUACAGUGUUUGCUGUGUUCAGAUGAGCAUUGGGUUACCGCAGCUGUGGCUGCCUCCAGACUCUCCCCUCAGCCAAGAACUGCAUCUCACCCCCAUUUUGUGGCUGAGGAAGUGGAGUGUCCCUGGCUGCCUUGCUGAGGCUGGUCUAUGUGCCCCUGGGGCCCUUUAGGCCGGGACGUUUUGACUCCAUUCCUCCUAAAAAGAACCAGCCCAAACCUCCCGGAUUGAAGUCUCCAAUGAUUCAUUCAACAAACUGUGACAGAAACAAUUUGCUUCAGAGAAACCUUGCUCCCUGGAGAAUCUGUCGCUCUGUGUCAUCCUCAGGGACAAGAAAAUUCAAGAACAAACCAGCAUGAAUGUGGGCAAAGAGGUGACAUGGGUAAGUGCCUCCCACAGAUCCUACCUCAAACCCUGACAACAUCCUCUGCUGAAGAUCCCACCCUCAGCUCUCAGUCCACCAUGACACUCUCCUACCUUGAAUGUAAACAACACCACGUCAUAGACUGGGGUUCAGAGCUAAUAAAGAGCCCUGGCUCGCACCUCUCUCUCUCUUUCCUGCGCGGCCAGCUGCCUCAAGCUCCUGCCACCAUGGUGGCCUUCAUCCUCCAACUGUGAGCCAAAGAGGUGAGAGAAGCGACUAUACAACCAGUCUCCUGUGAAGAGCUGGGUGGGGCAGAGGACCACAGGAGCUUCCAAAGCCCUGGGCAGAACACAACUGUGCUACACAGUGGCCCGAUGCUCACCGAUGACCUGCUCACUGGCACACGGUGUGUUCCUGGUCCCCUCUUAGAUCUCCUUUCCUGCUCUACUUUCUCUCACGGCCCCAAAGAUGACAUCCUGUGUCCCUGCCCCGAUAGGACCCAUGGGAAUCCACUGUGCACAGGAUGGGCUUCUCAGCGGGAAUGCACAGGUGGAAAUGUUGCAGUGUGAGCCCCACCAAAGUCCUUGGACUCUGUAUGUUCAUCUGUAAUGUCGGAGAAGUGUUGGGACCAACUCGCAACACUACAAAGGACUGAAUGAGCUGAUGCCCACGGGGCACCAUCUAGGGCGUUCUGGGCUCAGGAAGCACCUAUUCUCCUGUGGAGUUCUGUCCUCUAGGUCUGUUGUGGCCAUCGACACCAUGAAACCAAAGUAGUUGUGAAUACCCACAGGAGAUGCCCCCAAAAGGCUGGGCCUGAUAACUCCCUCCUAGAAGAGUGCUGGGGAUGGUCCUCAGACCCUCAACCUGAGACUCCGGCCACCCCCGCCAGCCGUCCUCCGCAGCAGUGUGUGAGCUCUGGAGGUGCUCACGUGGGCAGGAGCUGGAAGGUUGGCUGCAGGUACCCCAUCUUUGUGGCUUUGGGGCAUUUUCAACCACACUGCUGGCAGUGACCCCACUAGAUCACCAAGCCGUGCUCGGAAGGCAUCUUCUCUUUAGUCCUUACUGCCCUUGCUGUCUGAGGUGCAUGUACUCAAACACCGCGGGAGAAAUCUCCCUGACACAUGCCAUCCCUCCCAACACUGGGGUCACAUUCACUAUCAAGCAGAAGAGUCUGAUCUGACUGUCUACAGGGUCUGGUAGGUUUGUCUCUUCUUUGGUCCUUAAAUUUUAUUUUUCUAAUUUGUCAAGAUUUCUACUUGAAAGUGAGGAUUUCAGGUCAUCACCUGUGAGCCGAUCCUGCUGAAACCAGUUCUGAGGCAGAGAGAGGCCUUUGAUAUAGUUAUGUUUCCAA
rnacentral:lncRNA from 1 species